CAGGUCAACCAGCGUGUGUGGAGACGUUCCGGUGUACCGUACAGUGUCACUAAAAAAAGUUGACAUUUUGUGCCGGUCGCCUGUGCAAGGUUGAAAAAAACUGCACAGGUCUAUUUCCACACACGUUCCGGCCUACCUGCGCAGGCAUACUUAUGCAGGUAUAGGUAAAAUCACUGGUCUCAGCAAAAGCACGGGGAAAUGAGCGUCGAAAACUGCAGUCGUUCGAUAUGGGACGACAUCCGUUUCCAGCGGGGGAGAAUACUUUGACUGCGUGUGUCAUACACUCGAACGUCAU